rnacentral:rRNA from 1 species
AUGAACGCUGGCGGCGUGCCUAAUACAUGCAAGUCGAGCGAACAGACGAGGAGAUUGCUCCUCUGACGUUAGCGGCGGACGGGUGAGUAACACGUGGAUAACCUACCUAUAAGACUGGGAUAACUUCGGGAAACCGGAUCUAAUACCGGAUAAUAUAUUGCACCGCAUGGUUCAAUAGUGAAAGACGGUUUUGCUGUCACUUAUAGAUGGAUCCGCGCCGCAUUAGCUAGUUGGUAAGGUAACGGCUUACCAAGGCAACGAUGCGUAGCCGACCUGAGAGGGUGAUCGGCCACACUGGAACUGAGACACGGUCCAGACUCCUACGGGAGGCAGCAGUAGGGAAUCUUCCGCAAUGGGCGAAAGCUUGACGGAGCAACGCCGCGUGAGUGAUGAAGGUCUUCGGAUCGUAAAACUCUGUUAUUAGGGAAGAACAAAUGUGUAAGUAACUAUGCACGUCUUGACGGUACCUAAUCAGAAAGCCACGGCUAACUACGUG